CUCAGCGCUUACCUCCGAGAGACUUAAAAAAGUGUUACAGGAACGGAGAGAUUGGGGAAUAUGAAAUUUAAUAUUACUGCUAAGCAUGAAAAGCAGGCCUGAUCCUGUGUGGAAUUCACUGUGAAGGAUGGAGAGGGAAAAGAGAAGUGUGGCCGAAAGGAAAAGGAGGAAAAUGUCCUUGGAAGAUUAAAACAGAUGGAUCCCUACAGAAGCCUUCAGGGACUCUGAUUCUUUUAACAUGAAGAAAGAAAAAGUGAACGCUGCAGGAGCUCAAGCUGCGACUACGGCACAAGUUUCCCUCGACUUCCUCUCGCUCUCCUCCACCGCCUCUCAUUCGUUUUGUGCGAACAACAUGUUUGUCAUUUAUUUGUGAAAGUCUGUGGCCUAAUUCAUUAGUUCCUUUGUUAGACGCUCAUUGUGUUUCCUAAUUACGGGUUCUCUCUUUCAAUCUGUCUCUUUCCCUCCCUUUCCUCCUCCCGCAUCAGACAGAGUUUGAUUCUCCCCAAAUGACUGUUAUUUUCUGUCUCUGCGCCGAGCGUAUGAGUGGUUAACAAUGGUAAUAACAGUCGAGUCAGGGUGUGGCGAUCAGGUAGGUCGGCCUUCAUAAGAGCCCAUCAUAGAGGGUUAUUUCAAACUGUCUCCAUGGAAACCGAGCAGGGAGGGUCUAAUUCUGCAGAGAUCUGUCUAUGUGACGACACUCUCUUCCUGUCCGUUCCUGCUCUAUCUGGCUUCACAGUGAGAGUGAGUGGAGUGGGGGGUCGCUGGGAUUUUGGGAAUGAGUGCCAUUGCAAUGCUGUGAGAGCCCAAGCUAAAAAUACCUAUUAACACAUAGACUCUAACAAACAUGGUGAGCGGCAAACAGUCGCACCACCCCUAAACACAAAUACACACAUGUGGAAAACAGUUUGGAGUGUUAGAGAAGUGAUAACAAUCUAAAACGUCGCUCGCUGGAUCUGUAAAAUUCUGUCUUUAGGUUAUGUGAGCUUAUUCUAACACAUAACGGGCGGCUUAUGGUGGUCCUGCGGUGGGGUGUAUCAUAAUGCUGUUUGAUGGUCAUUUAUUAUGUCAGUACUAUUGUGUGCCAGCAUAGUUUGGCCUCUCUGACUUGCCGUACUGAAAGCAGAGUUUAGAUUCGGGCAGAAGGCAGGACACCUAAUACACUUCACUGCCAUCGCCAAGCACCCAACUCGGAAGCAGACUAGAAACAACUGCCUGCUCAUAAAUUACACCGGCGCGUGCGUGUGUGUGUGUGUUUCUGAAACACUGAGCGCACUGAAAUAAAUGUAGGGGAAACUCCUAUCCAAAUAUAUACAAUAAACACUAUAAAUCAUUUUUAGUCUCAAAAUCAUGAACAAAAUUUGUUUAUGAGCUGAUUAAGGUCUUCAUAAUAGAGCUCUUCAAUCAUGUGGGCAAUUUACAGGCCAAACUGGAAGGCUAAUUCACUAAAUCCUGUUUGAAGUAUGACAUGGAGAAGAAUGUUUCCACUGCUGAGUAAAAAAAUGUAAUAAAUACAAAGGUAAUGCAGCAUUAUUUCUUAUAAUCUCUCAAUAUGACAUGACUAUAUAGCUUACAAUUGCAGCUUCAUUUCUCUUACGAUGCCUUAUAUCUUACAACUACAACGUAAUUUAUUCACUGUAAAAACCUAUCAGAGUUAACUUGUUCGGUGAACUCAACCAGCCACAUCAUUUUAAGAUUAUUUAGCAAUUUCAAUUCGUUUUAACAAUCCUCUUCCAUUUUUUUAUUUUUUAGACCCACUACAUAAUAUUGGCAGUACCUUAUUCUCAUUUCUUCAUCUGAAUAAAAAUAAAAAAAGGUAAUUGCAACUUUUAUUUCACAAUCCUCACUUCUUUUCUCGUAUAUUCGUAUAUUUUUACCACACAAUUCUGAGAAAAAAGUUCACCAUUGUACUAACUAUAAGUAACUUUGUAACUACAUGUCAACUAAUUCUUCUUCAUUUGCACCUACAUGUCUGCUAACUCUCAGAGUAGACUGUUAGGGUAGGUUUAGGGUUAGUAGAAUGAAUUGACAUAUAAUUGCAAAUUGCUUG